GCUGCCGGCGUGCUUAAUACAUGCAAGUCGAACGAGAGCGACCGGUGCUUGCACUGGUCAAUCUAGUGGCGAACGGGUGAGUAACACGUGGGUAACCUGCCCAUCAGAGGGGGAUAACAUUCGGAAACGGAUGCUAAAACCGCAUAGGUCUUCGAACCGCAUGGUUUGAAGAGGAAAAGAGGCGCAAGCUUCUGCUGAUGGAUGGACCCGCGGUGCAUUAGCUAGUUGGUGAGGUAACGGCUCACCAAGGCCGUGAUGCAUAGCCGACCUGAGAGGGUGAUCGGCCACAUUGGGACUGAGACACGGCCCAAACUCCUACGGGAGGCAGCAGUAGGGAAUCUUCCGCAAUGGACGCAAGUCUGACGGAACAACGCCGCGUGAGUGAAGAAGGUUUUCGGAUCGUAAAACUCUGUUGUUAGAGAAGAACAAGUGCUAGAGUAACUGUUAGCACCUUGGACGGUAUC
rnacentral:rRNA from 1 species